UCAACUUGAGAGUUUGAUCCUGGCUCAGAACGAACGCUGGCGGCAGGCUUAACACAUGCAAGUCGAGCGCCCCG
rnacentral:rRNA from 1 species